UCAGUGAUGGUUCAGUGCCCCUGCUCGAGCUUGAGUAAACGACCCUCGGGUGUUUACAUCGGAAUCAGCUCCUUGGUGGUCUUUGGGGACUUCGCGAUCUGGGCACAACACUCCAAGGUCAACAACAACAGCAAAAAGAUCCGGGUCAUGAGGGAACCAUCUCCAAGAUCCUGCAUUUUUGGUACCGGGGAUUGAACUUGGGUCCUUGUGCUUUCGAGGCAGGUGGCAGAACCACUCAGCUAAAUCCCCAGCCCCUAUUUUUGUCAUGUGAUAUGUUAUUUCUCUUAACAUUUGCAUUCAACUAACUAGCAUGUGAAGAUCUGGGAAAAAAAGGGAGGAACACACACCUGUGUAAACAUGCAGGCUACAGACAGAUACUCAUAUGUUGGGAAGUGUUCUCUCUGUCUCUCUCUGUCUCUCUCUUCCACACACACACUUGCCACACAUUAGUGUGUGUCAUACUGUGUCAAUAGGGUGCUUCAGAACUUCUGUAACAUUCUCAGAUAAAGUCCAGUCCAAAAACAAA